AUAAAUAUCAGUCCAGUUAGCAUCUCAGACACUUUCUGAUCUCCAGCUCAGACUCAACCAGUGUCUUUCAUUCACACAAACUCAAGAACAACAAAAGCACAAAAUAUUCAACCACCACUGACAGGAACGACUUGCAUACAAGGACUGUCGGGUUGUUCUCAAACACUAAACAGGAUGAGAUCGGCGUUUCUCCUCGCACUUUUCGUCACUCUUGUGUUCAGCGAUGGAUCGAAUGACACCAUUCCCAGCGACAAUCAGCCUGAGAUGUUUUCUAACUGGCCAACUCCCUGUCACAGAAUUUCAGAUCCAAACGCAUUUCAUGUUUUCGUGCACAGAUUCAUUAUCCAAGAACAUUUCGAUAUGACGCGGCCGGACGGUUGGGCCGGUUUUCUAACGAGAGCGCACCGCUGUGGUGCACAGCCUCACCAGUCCUUCCUACAUAAAAACGACCUCAACGCCAUCUUCCAGGUUUGCAGAGGAGAAAGCCGCAGAGACGAACUGAAUUUGUGUGUCAGUAUGAGGAAGUUCAGAGUGUUUGUUGUUCAAAGCGUGAUGAGAAACGGACGGUGUGAUGUUCAGCUUCAGAUCGAACACGCUCACGUGGUUGUGGCUUGUGAAUACAUUCAUAUAGUUCGUUGUAUUCCUGUUCACCUCGCAGGAAUAUCUUACACUGUACCAUCGCCACAUUUUCAGCCGUGCAGAUAGGCAGCGAUUCCUUAAGAACUAACUAGUUAGUUCAACUUCACAUCUAGAGGAAAACAUCAUUAUCCAAAACAAAUGCAGACAUGUUUAUAUGCUUUACUUCUAUUGCCUUCUACAGCUGCUUUUAUUCUUUCAAGAAAGUUUGUCAUUCUUUCUUUGUUUCAUUUACACCAGAAUAAAUAUAACUGUUACUGCAUUAUAUUUUAAAUAUACAUAAAAAGGAUACAGUGUCAGCUUAAUAGAAAGUAUUUUCCUGAUAAUGUUGUUCACAUUAAAAAUGUUACAUUUUACAAGUUUCUUCUGCUCAC